rnacentral:rRNA from 1 species
CAACAGCUAGAGUUUGAUCCUGGCUCAGGAUGAACGCUGGCGGCGUGCUUAACACAUGCAAGUCGAGCGGAGUUAAUCGGAAGCUUGCUUUUGAUUAACUUAGCGGCGGACGGGUGAGUAACGUGUGGGCAACCUGCCCUGUACUGUGGAAUAAUCACUUGAAAAGGUGACUAAUACCGCAUGUGGUCCUUAGGAGGCAUCUUCUGAGGAAGAAAGGAUUUAUUCGGUACAGGAUGGGCCCGCAUCUGAUUAGCUAGUUGGUGAGAUAACAGCCCACCAAGGCGACGAUCAGUAGCCGACCUGAGAGGGUGAUCGGCCACAUUGGGACUGAGACACGGCCCAAACUCCUACGGGAGGCAGCAGUGGGGAAUAUUGCACAAUGGGGGAAACCCUGAUGCAGCAACGCCGCGUGAAGGAAGACGGUUUUCGGAUUGUAAACUUCUAUCAAUGGGGAAGAAAGAAAUGACGGUACCCAAAUAAGAAGCCCCGGCUAACUACGUGCC